rnacentral:rRNA from 1 species
UGGGGAAUCUUGCGCAAUGGGCGAAAGCCUGACGCAGCAACGCCGCGUGCGGGAUGAAGGCCCUCGGGUUGUAAACCGCUUUCAGUGGGGACGAACCAAGACGGUACCCACAGAAGAAGCCCCGGCCAACUACGUGCCAGCAGCCGCGGUAACACGUAGGGGGCAAGCGUUGUCCGGAUUUAUUGGGCGUAAAGAGCUCGUAGGUGGUUCGAUAAGUCGGGUGUGAAACCUCCAGGCUCAACCUGGAGACGCCACCCGAUACUGUCGUGACUAGAGUCCAGUAGGGGAGCGUGGAAUUCCUGGUGUAGCGGUGAAAUGCGCAGAUAUCAGGAGGAACACCAGCGGCGAAGGCGGCGCUCUGGGCUGGCACUGACACUGAGGAGCGAAAGCGUGGGGAGCGAACAG